UUUUUUUUUUUUUUUUUAAACAUCUGUUUGGCCAGCUUUUCCAGAGAGACCAGAACCUGGCUAGUAAGAAACUCAUACCCCAUUCUACUGGCUUACUGGGUCCUGGGUUCCCUUGACCGCUGUUUCCAGAAGAGCAGAGUGGCUUUGGUAAUCCUGCUCACAGGGCCAAAACUAUAGGGGCCAAAGGAAACUCCUUCACCCUCUGAAGUUUCACUAAAACAAUCAACUCACAAAGAGGAUUAAUAGGAGAAAUGGAAUACGAAUGUGUUAAUGUGCAUGGGAAAGAAAUCCAGAGUGAUUAACCGACCCCUCCUACCCCUCUGUGCCUUAUGUGUGUCCCAUAUAAGGCACAGAACCUUAUAUACAGUCCUGAGGUUACAGCAAAAUGAGGGCUUGGAUUGUGACAAACAGGUUAUGGGAGUGGAAGAAGAAGAGGCCUGACUAGCAAAGGUGAUCUUACAAUGCAGACGAAACCUCACAGGUAGGCUGGGCAGGGUGGCUCAUGUCUAUAAUCCAAGCAGUUUUUGAGGCUGAGGCAGGAAGAUCGCUUGAGGCCAGGGGUUCAAGGUUUCAGUGAGCUACAAUGGUGCCAUUGCAAUCAGCUUACAUGAUGGAGUGAGACCUUGUCUCUUAAAAAAAAAAAGAAAAGAAGAGAAACCUUACAGGUAGCAGCUAUCAGAGAAAAUAGAUGGUGACUGUUUCUUUCAUACUUUUAAAGGUGCCAGACUUUCAGUUAAUCUUUCCUAGAGUAGACAAAAGAGGGCCUCGGAGAAAGCCUGACUGCAUCAAUGCAGAUUUUCUCUACAGAUGUGAAUCUCACCCACAAAAGACAGCCUUUCAGCUAUUCUUGUAUUUCCAGCCUUUCUGAAUAGCCAUCUUCAAAUAUGUUAAAGACGUAUAUUCUGGGGUAAAAUAUUUUGGUUUCCUAUACAUGCCUGCUAUAUUUCUGGAACAGCAAAGAACCCAUGUUGACUGGAACAAAUGGGAUGAAGGGGAGGGUAGUAGGAGAUGAUGGUUAGAGAGGUUAAGCGGGGGUAGACUUACAGGCCACUGUGAGCACUUUAGCUUUUAUUAUGGGUGUACUGGUGAGCCAUUGAAAGAUUUCAAGCAAGGGAAUGACAUGAUCUCAUUCACUGUACAAAUGAUCACCCUGACUACUGUGUUUGGAACAGACUAUUAAAGGGUCAUCGAUAGAUUACUGAGACCAUUUAGAAGGCUAUUGCAAUAAUCCAAGUAUGAUGGUGAAAAUGACUGACAUAGCAGCAGUAGAAAUAAGUGCUCAGAUUUUUGAUGUAUUUUGAAUUGAUGUGGUGUGUGUGAGAGGUCAAAGAUGACUCUGAGGUUUUUAUCGUCAGAGUAGGUAGACAAGAGCAGGGCAGGAGAGGGCUCCCCUCCACACACACACACCAGGAAUGUCAGGUGACCAUCUGGUGAUGGUCAGGCCAUUGUGAACUGUCUCUCUAAAAUACUAAUUGGUCACAGCCAGCGCCAGGGAAAGGCUGACUCCCAAUAAAUAGAAAACACCUGAAACUGAUCAUCAGCUGCUUCCCAAUAAGAUCUCAGAAACUGGGCGAGUAGGCUCACACAUGCACACUAAGAGGGAAAAUGGCAAAGUUUAACUGGGAUAUGACCUCAUAGGGACAUGUGACUGGUAACGGAAGAAUGCCUCAAGAGAGCAUGUGUACAACUCCAGUAAACACAGUAUGCAUGCUCCCCUCCCAAGUGCUAGCAGGCUCCCCUCCCCAGUGACAGCCCACCCUAAGGGAAGAAUACGGGGAGAAGUAAUGCAAGCCUCCGGAAGUAUGCCAACCUAUAAAAGGCCAAGUCAAAAGAUCAAACCACAGACUUGUCUUUCAAGUUGCCCACUCGGCCCUCUUCCAAGUGUACUUUCCUUCCUUUCAUUCCUGCUCUAAAGCUUUUUAAUAAACUUUCACUCCUGCUCUAAAACUUGCCUUGUCUCUCCUUCUGCCUUAUGCCUCCUAGGUCAAACUCUUUCCUCUAAGGAGGCAAGAACUGAGGUUGCUACAGACUCAUACAGAAUCAUCGAUUCAUCGCUGGUAACUUAUUUUGGUGCCAUGUGACUCAGAUACUUUAUACUGUUAAUAUUUUGACCUCAGUAACAGAUGGACAGUUAUUAAUAAGAUAAGAAUGUAGUGGGUGGCACAAUUUUGGAAGAAAAAUAGAAUGAGGAGUUUGGCUUUGAACACAUUAAUUAUGACUAUGAGACAUCCAAGUGGAGAUGCCAAAUAAAAAGUUGGACAUAUCUGUCUGUAGUGCAGGAUGCUGCUCUGGAAAAGAGACUUAUCAGCAUAUGCAUGGUGCUCAAAGUCAUAAUAAGAUAGAAGACGACCUCAUAGGGAGAGAGGUAUAGGGAAAUGAAGAUAUAAAACUGGACGGGGCUCUGGGGUGCUACCAAUAAAAGGAAGGAGGAGUCUGCCAAAAAGACUGAACAGAAGCAUCCAAUAAACUCAAGGGAAAACUAGGAGUGAGUUAUCAGAAAGGAAGUUGUCUUAGUCCAUUUUGUGUUACUACAAAAAAAUACCUGAGGCUGGAUAAUUUAUAAAGAAAAACAGUUUAUUUGGCUCACAAUUCUGAUGGAUGUUAAGUUCAAGAUUAGGCAUAUGCAUCUGGGGAGGGCUUCAGGUGGCUUCCACUCAUGGUGAAAGACAGGGACUUGGUGUGUGCAGACUGCACAUGGAGAGAGAAAGAAAGAGAAAGAGGAUGAGGUGCCAAGCUCUUUGUAACAAUCAGUUUUCAUAGGAACUAAUGAAAAACUCACUCACCUUUGAAGGAGGGCACUAUUUUAUUCAUGAGGUAUCUGCCCCCAUGACACAAACACCUCUCAAUAGGACCCACCUCCAACACUGCGGAUCAAAUUUCAUCAUGAGGUUUGGAGGACACAAAUAUCCAAACCAUAGCAGAAGUGAAAAAAGUAUAUCUCAAAGGAAAGUGUGACCAGCUAUAUAAAAUGCUGCUAACACAAAGAAUGAAGAACUGGAGGCACAAGCUCCAUUUGGAGACAUAGCCAAAGACAGAAAUACACAGUAACCAACCAAAGAGGAAGUGAUCCUUUUUUAUUCUAAGCUGUGUUUAGGAAGAGUAAUAUAUCCUGGGUUUGCCAAAUUCUUCAUAGAGUUGUUAUUGCUUGUUCUAAAUUGUUAGGAAGGAAGGACAGACGGUUAGGUUGACCAAAUAUUGCCACAGUUUAAGUGGUGGAUCUUGUGGCUCAGCUCAAUGUUUCCCUCUUUUCAAAGACCAUCUUCUACUUGCACAAACCCCUUUACCUUCAUAUAAAAACAAUUGAGAUAAAAUUGUUCUGAAGAUGAGGGGCAUACACUCCCUCCAAACUUCAGGUAUUCUUAGGCAACUAAGAAUCUUGUGGACCUUGGAGGGAAAUCCCUGGUGAUGUGCAACAGUCCAUAGGGUUCCACUAUGAACAGAGGAACAUUUAAAAUAGUCUAGCUCCUCCAGGAAAGACUUAUAAAGAGUGGUAAUUUAGCAUUAGGAGCAGCUCCCUCUUUCAGCAGCGAGUUUUCCUGAGACAUGUAAGCGAGCUAAAUCCACUCGGGAGUGCAAACCUGAGGAGUAAAGCUCUAAAGCAACACAUUUUUGAUCCUAUACAUUCUUAGCUUAGUACAGAUGGAUGGGGACAGGAAGUAACAUGGGAAAUUAGACAUCAAAGAUUGAAAUCUUUGAAGGGUGCUUACCACCCCUUGAAACACCAGCUGGAUUUAUGACAAAAUUAUGGCACUUCAUCUUGUGAAUUUUUGAAUCACCGGGUUAACAUGCAUAAUUGGAGAGAGCUGGCUCAAAGAUGAAAGAGAAAGAGUGAGAAAGCUACUUUCAGUGGCAUCUAGAAGCCUCUAAAAUAGGAAAUGACAAAAUCAUUUCCAUAUGGGAGGUAAAUCACAAGAUUCUGGAAACUGUUUCACAGUUGAAAAAAAGUACGAAUUGUCUACUGUUUUAUCCUCUUCUACUACUGUUUCUACUCUCUCUGUCCCCCAGAGCCUUUCCAACUCUCUGCUCUCAGAACUGCCCUGUCCAGACCUACUUUGACUUCCUCUUCCAUCAUCUAUGGAAGUUUUAGCAGCACCUUCCAAAGAAAAGCUGAAUUCAAGGGAGGAUCCUUCGGUGGCUUAUACCACUUAUACCUAGACCAAAUCAGAACUCAGGGGUUUUACUAACUUCCUGAUCCUACCCAAGAUCCUAUAGGCUUUGCUAAGGAACUUAGUUUGGCAGUAAAGACCUGGCUGGGUGUGGUGGCUCAGCCUGUAAUCCCAGCACUUUGGGAGACCAAGGAGGGAGGAUCGCUUGAGCCCUGUGUUUGAGAUCAGCCUGUGCAACGUAGUGGGACCAUAUAUCUAUUUAAAAAAAUAAUAAUAAUUAGCCAGGUAUGGUUUUGUGGUUCCAGCUAUUCAGGAAACUGAGGUGGGAGGACUGCUGGAGCCCAGGAGGUCAAGACUGUAGCAAGCCAUGAUCACACUACUGCAUUGCAGCCUGAGUGACAGAGUGGUGUGUGUGUGUGUGUCUCAAAAAAAAGACCGAUAAGCCAGUAUAUUCAUAUUUAUGUCAACUAGUUCAUAUGUUAAUAUCCAAAAGGAAAGGUAGAGAAUGGAUAUCAAAGGUUGAUUUGAAGAAUCCAGUAAGCAAUUUCUAUUAACAAAAGGCAGAGGACCGAGCAGAAGCCUCAGAACUGACAAGCUGUCUAACACAGGUAAUUCCCCAGAUACUUCCCAAAGAACACUGAUUGGUUUAAGGAGCAACAAGGUAGACAAGGAUCAAAUAAGACUGUAUUAGACUACUUUGAAAGAUUUUAAAAGAUGUUUUAAACAAUACUCUGGAAUAAAUGAGGCCAGUUGUAUUAGUCCAUUUUCACACUGCUAUAAAGAAAUACCUGAGACUGGGUAAUUUAUAAAUAAAACAGGUUUAAUUGACUCAGUUCUGCGUAGCUGGGGAGGCCUCAGGAAAUUUACAAUCAUGGUGGAAGGCAAACAGGAUGCAAGGGACAUCUUACAUGGCAGCAGGAGAGAGUGAGAGCAAAGGGGGAACUCCCAAACACUGUAAAAACCAUCAGCUCUCAUGAGAACUCCCUAUCACAAGAACAGAAUGGGGUAAAUCACCCCCAUGAUCCAAUCACCUCCUACCAGGUCCCUCCUGCAACACGUGGGGAUUACAAUUAGAGAUGAUAUUUCGGUGGGAACACAGAGCCAAACCAUAUCACCAGUCUAAGAUCAUCAAAAUGAUCCCUUACUAAAUUCAAGUUUAUUUAAUGGGCUAGACAAACAAUUGGCCAAGGUAGUCAAGUUACAUUAAAUAAACUGGGACUCAUCACAUAUUUCUGAGCUUGUAAACCUUCUUGAUAAGCCAGCCAGGGUGAUACAACAGAGAAAGGAUAAUAAUGCCACUAAAAUUAUAAAUUUACAACUCCAGCGACUUACUGGCCAAGAUGCUAGGUUUAAACAGAGGCCACCCUUUUGAAAGACGUUUCAAAAACAUCUAAGAAUGUCUGUUAUUAUUAUUUUUUUAAAAAAGACAUCUUUUAAAACACUGUAGAAAGCUGAAAUGGGUGCAAAAGCAAAAA
rnacentral:lncRNA from 1 species